UGGGGAAUAUUGCACAAUGGGCGCAAGCCUGAUGCAGCCAUGCCGCGUGUGUGAAGAAGGCCUUCGGGUUGUAAAGCACUUUCAGCGAGGAGGAAGGUGGUGAGCUUAAUACGCUCAUCAAUUGACGUUACUCGCAGAAGAAGCACCGGCUAACUCCGUGCCAGCAGCCGCGGUAAUACGGAGGGUGCAAGCGUUAAUCGGAAUUACUGGGCGUAAAGCGCACGCAGGCGGUUUGUUAAGUCAGAUGUGAAAUCCCCGGGCUCAACCUGGGAACUGCAUUUGAAACUGGCAAGCUAGAGUCUCGUAGAGGGGGGUAGAAUUCCAGGUGUAGCGGUGAAAUGCGUAGAGAUCUGGAGGAAUACCGGUGGCGAAGGCGGCCCCCCUGGACGAAGACUGACGCUCAGGUGCGAAAGCGUGGGGCAGCAAACAGGAUUAGAUACCCUGGUAGUCCAGCGCUGUAAAACGAUGUCGAUUUGGAGGUUGUGCCCUUGAGGCGUGGCUUCCGGAGCUAACGCGUUAAAUCGACCGCCU
rnacentral:rRNA from 1 species